AUCCAGAUGACGAGUUUCAAAUAGGACGAAACGCGCGUUCUGGAU
rnacentral:hammerhead_ribozyme from 1 species